UUGAAGGAAUGUGAUCCAUUUAGUUGUUGCCUCCAUUGUGCAUUUAUCCUCCUUUUCCUUGAGCCCCAUUAUUAAGCCUUCCAAAGCUUGCUUCAUUCUCUUAGUUUUGACCUCAUCAUGGGUCCCCCAAUCCCCUUCAAUGCCUCUUCUUGGCUCACAUCAACAGGACUUUGAUUCGAGACGAGCGUCUCGACGUGGGAUCUAUUUCGGAUACGAUCUCCAUUUUUGAGGCGGGUACCUUGACUUAUCUUUUUGAUAUUGCCAUUUGAUAUGCGUAGUAGAUUAUAACGAGUAGUAAUGAUUAUGUCUAUAUCUGCAUUGGUAAGUCAAGUCUUUACUUGAUACCUGUAGCAUGCUUUAUUUGUUGUCUGCUAUACAUCCAUGCUUAUACCCUCUUGAUUAUUGCCAUAUGUAUUUAUGUUCAUAGAGGUAGUGACCUACCAUGCCUUAUUGUGUACAGGACUAGUUAUUUGCCAUACUUGUCAGGUGUACCUAGAUCAUUUUGUUGGAUCUAUUUACCUUUUGGUACAUACUUUAUGGAGGUGGAUAUAUUCAAGAUUUACAUGCUUAGUGACAUGCACCAUCUUACAUGAUUGCAUGUUGAGUGAUUGUCGACUCUAUUAUUGUUGAGCAUAUCGCUAGUUACAUGGAUCUGCACACACAACCACUCAUGGGUUAGUGGUAUAUCAGGCAGGAUGUGUUGCAGUAGGUUGCUCUAUCAAGGGCUCUGAUGGCCCGCUCAUGGGUAAUGGCGACGCAACAUGGUAGUAGGACAGGGAUCGCUCCUCUGGACUAUGACUCAGGGAGAUGAGAGCAUUGAGAUCCCCCACUUUGUUUAGGAUAGGAGGAUAGGUGUACUCCGACAGCAUCCUGCCCACUCGGUCACUCAUGACUAGUGAUGGCAGAGUGCAUAGUUGUCAUAGCCCUACCCACUCGGUCUCACCAUCGCGUGUGAAAUGCCUUACUGGCAUCAGGGAUGACUAGGACAUUUUGCAUCAUAUCCAUAGAUUGCAUGUAUUGCUUGUGAUUGCUGCAUUUUAGAUGUUACAUUUUUGUGAAUGCAUAUAUUUGACAUGCAUACAGGAUACAUUAUGUAUUUGGUCUGAUGACCCUGUAUAUGUUGGUGAGGUUCACACCCAUAUGUUCAGAUAGGAGGUCCUGGUUAGCACAUAGAUAUGUCCUGACGCUUGGAGUAUUUUGUCUGCUGGUCCCAUGUCACAUCAAAAGACAGUUUACCUCGCUCUUGAUUUUUUUUAUAUAUUCUUUAUUGAUUUAGCAUUGUAUUGGGGUUUAGCCAUGUGCCUAUUUCGUUGUUUUGGUGUUGUAUUUGUGUUUAAGCCGUGCCGAUACGCAUUGUGUUAUUUUGGUUUGUAUGAACUUUCCUUUUGUUUUUUCGUUGUGUUCUUAGUACAGCCGUGUGGGUUGUUAUAUAUAUAAUUGCGUGGUUGUGGUUAUUUUGUUCCAACUGAGUGGACUGAGUAUAUAACUGUGUGGUUGUAUAUAUAUAUAUAUAUAUAUAUUUCAA